UACGUAGGGGGCAAGCGUUGUCCGGAUUUAUUGGGCGUAAAGAGCGUGUAGGCGGCUUGGGAGGUCCGUUGUGAAAACUCGAGGCUCAACCUCGAGACGCCGAUGGAAACCCCCUGGCUAGAGUCCGGAAGAGGAGAAUGGAAUUCCUGGUGUAGCGGUGAAAUGCGCAGAUAUCAGGAAGAACACCCGUGGCUAAGGCGGUUCUCUAGUACGGUACUGACGCUGAGACGCGAAAGCGUGGGGAGCGAACAGG
rnacentral:rRNA from 1 species